rnacentral:rRNA from 1 species
GACGAAGGCCCCGAGCGUUACUCGGAUUCACUGGGCUUAAAGGGCGUGUAGGCGGAUUCUCAGGUGCCUUGUGAAAUCUCCGGGCUCAACCCGGAAACUGCAGGGUAGACCAGGAAUCUUGAGGCAGCUAGGGGCAACUGGAACUCUAGGUGGAGCGGUGAAAUGCGUAGAUAUCUAGGGGAACGCCGAUGGUGAAAACAGGUUGCUGGGGCUGUCCUGACGCUGAGGCGCGAAAGCGUGGGGAGCAAAC